GGCUAGAGUGUGGUAGGGGAGACUGGAACUCCUGGUGUAGCGGUGAAAUGCGCAGAUAUCAGGAAGAACACCGAUGGCGAAGGCAGGUCUCUGGGCCAUUACUGACACUGAGAAGCGAAAGCAUGGGUAGCGAACAGGAUUAGAUACCCUGGUAGUCCAUGCCGUAAACGUUGGGCACUAGGUGUGGGGGACAUUCCACGUUUUCCGCGCCGUAGCUAACGCAUUAAGUGCCCCGCCUGGGGAGUACGGCCGCAAGGCUAAAACUCAAAGGAAUUGACGGGGGCCCGCACAAGCGGCGGAGCAUGCUGAUUAAUUCGAUGCAACGCGAAGAACCUUACCAAGGCUUGACAUGCACUGGACGGCUGCAGAGAUGUGGCUUUCUUUGGACUGGUGCACAGGUGGUGCAUGGUUGUCGUCAGCUCGUGUCGUGAGAUGUUGGGUUAAGUCCCGCAACGAGCGCAACCCUCGUUCUAUGUUGCCAGCACGUGAUGGUGGGGACUCAUAGGAGACUGCCGGGGUCAACUCGGAGGAAGGUGGGGACGACGUCAAAUCAUCAUGCCCCUUAUGUCUUGGGCUUCAAGCAUGCUACAAUGGUCGGUACAAUGGGUUGCGAAACUGUGAGGUGGAGCGAAUCCCAAAAAGCCGGCCUCAGUUCGGAUUGGGGUCUGCAACUCGACCCCAUGAAGUCGGAGUCGCUAGUAAUCGCAGAUCAGCAACGCUGCGGUGAAUACGUUCCCGGGCCUUGUACACACCGCCCGUCAAGUCACGAAAGUCGGUAACACCCGAAGC
rnacentral:rRNA from 1 species